rnacentral:lncRNA from 1 species
GGCACUGCUCCUUGCAGCUAGUCACUGCAGGGUUGUCAGAGCUGUUGCUGGACGUGCAGAAGGGAGAGAUGAAACAUGGACCGAGGGCGGCAGCCAAACGGGAUCCUCAAAACUUGUUUGCUGCUGAAAUGGGAGAAUUGAAUAUUUUUCCACUUAAUCUAAAAAUUGGCCUUGGUUUCUUGGAAUGUUUCUCACCUCCUCUCAGCAUCAUCUACUGGAAAGAAGGCUCAAGAGAAAGUUGGGGAAGAUCUAUCAAUGAAACACCCGAGGAAACCCACCCUGAUACCUUCAUUUCUCCAUUUGUAAGACCAGCAUAUUCAUACCCGUGUCACCUUUUUCUUUAGAAUAACAUGAAAAUGAAUAUGCAAAAGCAUUAAGCUUUCAGAGGAAAGAUGCUAUGCAAAUUUGAGGUGACCUCACUAUUACAAUAAUAAUUUUUUUUUGCACUAAGACGAAAUUUUUCCUUAUCCUAAAGCCUUCCUACCAAGGUAGACUUUUUUCAAUGUGGGUUUUUGUGAUUUAAAUUCACCAAGCACUGAUAGUUUCAAGUUUAUUUCAGUAUUAAGCAGGAAAGCAGUUUCUGCAUGAAAUGUGAAAACUAAAAUACCAUAGUAAUGAAAAAGAUUCCGCAUCCUCAGGUGCAGCCCACGUUGUGGUGUAAUGCAAAUCUAUGGCUAUACUGUAUCACAGCGAAUAAAUCCAUUUGGAGAAAAAGGCACCUGGUGAAAGGCCACAGUGCAAUGGAAUGCAAUGCUGCUAUGUGCAAUGCUGCUUACAAGAAAACUUUGGCAAAUGACCAGUGGAGGCAACCAGCGGACGGAGGAAAAGGGCAGGUCCCUGCAUCCAUCUCAGCGCCCUGCAGCCGGCGGCCUGUCCUUUCAGGCGGGAGUUCCCAGCGGCGUUCCUAGGUGUUUUGAAUGUGUGCCCCGGGGCUGGGGGAAGCCUCGUGCAGUUCUGCUGCUGUGGGAGGCAGGGGGGACUGGAGGGGACGGGAGCAGUGUGAGGCUUUCAUGUGCAGAGGGGACAUGAGGACAUCUGGAUGGCAUCCCUGUGAGCAGGGCUCCCGCUGCAGGCCUUUGAAAACCCCGCUGCCCUGGCUCCCCAGUGCCUUGGAACUUUCUCCCUGGAGAAUGCAGAAAAGCCAGUGCCCUUGAUUUCUUAGACAUCUACAGCUUCGACACGUGCAGGGUUAUCCAGGAGCAGUGAGGUUUGGGGUGAGGGCCUGAGCACUUUCUGAAAAGUGCUUGUUUCUAAGAACCUGGAACUAUGAGUGAGGAGUGACAUGAGUUCUGCCCUCAAGUCCUCUGAUAACCAGCUGUGCAGUCUUGAACAAGUGACUUCAUCUCUUCAUCUUUAAAAUAAACCUUUUGGGCCAAAUGA